rnacentral:rRNA from 1 species
GACGUAGGGCGCGAGCGUUGGCCGGAUUUAUUGGGCGUAAAGAGCUCGUAGGCGGCUUGUCGCGUCAACUGUGAAAACCCGUGGCUCAACCAUGUGGUCUGCAGUCGAUACGGGCAGGCUAGAAUUCGGUAGGGGAGACUGGAAUUCCUGGUGUAGCGGUGAAAUGCGCAGAUAUCAGGAGGAACACCGGUGGCGAAGGCGGGUCUCUGGGCCGAUAUUGACGCUGAGGAGCGAAAGCGUGGGGAGCGAACAGG